rnacentral:rRNA from 1 species
UACAGAGGUCCCAAGCGUUGUUCGGAUUCACUGGGCGUAAAGGGUGCGUAGGUGGUGAGGCAAGUUCGGUGUGAAAUCUCCGGGCUUAACCCGGAAAUGGCAUUGAAAACUGCCUUGCUAGAGGGUUGGAAGGGAGACUGGAAUUCUUGGUGUAGCAGUGAAAUGCGUAGAUAUCAAGAGGAACACCAGUGGCGAAGGCGAGUCUCUGGACAACACCUGACACUGAGGCACGAAAGCUAGGGGAGCAAACAGG